CUGCUGGUAUCGCUUUUUGUGUUGACUGUCUGUGUUUGUGUGUCUCCAGAGUAAAGUGAAAGGGCAAGAAGGUGACAUGACACACACCUUGCACACCUUGCACACCUUGCACACAUUCAGAACUCAGAACUCUUUAUUGCCAGUAGAUAGGAUGCUGGAAUUGGUUGAGGUUCAGGGCCAGAUAUAAAGCACGAUACAACAAAAUACAUGAGCAUGAUGGACCGGACAAUAACAAUAUAAGAAACAGUCAACAUGAACAAGAAGUAAUAAAUAAACAAGACGACAUAAGCAGUAGCGCUGUUGACAGCAGCGUGGCGACGAAGACCCCGCCGUGCAAAGAGGAGCGCAGUUCGGAGAAGAAAUGCCAGUAGAGACGACAUGAACUUAAGCACGUGACCGGGUGGCGGCUGUCGCGUCCCCCGCAGCCGGCACGUCGGCGACGCCUGUCGUUUCCUAACGGGAACGGCAAUAAGAGGGAAGCCGAGGAAGCCCAAAUGAGAUGCGGAACCUUGUUUUGCUUCGGUGAACCUACUCCGACAUCGACCUUUGCCUGCGUAUUCCCGACCCGACCGCGUUCUUCGCCUAGCCUUUUGUAGUACUGCCGUUUGCUGAUCGCCAGACCCACGCCCGUCCGUCCCUCGACUUCGCUUUCUGGAUUCCGAUUCGGCUUCGUUAAACAUCGGUGUACGAUAACUCUGCGCUUGAGUCCGUCCUUGCUACGCGCAACCGUGACGGUGGGGGGGGGGGGGGGGGGUGAGGGUGCGCCUACUUGCUUUUACGUAGGAGGCGGAUGGUUUCGGGCAAGAGAUGACGUGACGUGACGACGAGCGCCCAUGCACUUAUAUUGCCCCCCCUGGGCCUGGCUGAGGUGGCAGUCUGGCGAAGAGGUGACUGCUGCGAUGAGCGGAGUCUGCAACACUUUGCUCGGUUCCGAAAGCAGUGCAGACAUUUCUUCUGCCUGUUUAAAAGCUUUGGAUGACAUGAGUGAAGAGCAGUUUAAGAGGUUUAAAAUGAAGCUACAUGAAACUAAAGGGUUUGAAAAAGGGCAAACUGAGAAGAUGGACCGUGCUGAUUUUGCACGCCACAUCUGCGACGUACUUCAACAAAAAGAAGCAGAAAAGAUGAUGCUUGAAACUCUAGAAGCCGUGGGCUUAAACGCGAUUGCUAAGGAUUUUCGGACCGCUUGUCAACAUGCUCAUUACAAUUCGUGUGAGGAGGUGACUUCUGCAAAAAGAAACCUCAGAGAGGAAUUAGAGAAGAUCUUCAAAAAAUUCCGUGCUGAUAACUUGAAGGAGUUCAAGAAUUUAUUGUCUAACAAAUGUCCCAUCAGUUUUCCCCGUGUUGAAAUGGAGAAAGUGGGAGCGUGUGACCUGCAAACCCUCAUCGUCAGUUACUUUGGAAGAGACAAAACAGCAGAUGAGGUUGCAAAGAUCUUGGAGACAAUGGAUUUAAAGGGUUUAGCAUCUCCUUUGAAAAACAUUAAAGACGGUAUGCAGAUUUAUUUAACACUCACCCUGCUUAGUUUUGUUCUUUGUAAAUUACACUUUAUUGCUAUAUUUUUAAAAAAAAAAAUUCCCCAUUCUCCCCCCUUUUUGCGGGCGGUCUUACUCCUUCAAGCUUGGGUCCUCUACCAGAGGCCUGGGAGCUUGAGGGUUCUGCGCAGUAUCUUAGCUGUUCUUAAGACCGCGCACUUCUGGACAGAGAUCUCGGAUGUUGUUCCUGGGAUCUGCUGGAGCCACUCUCCCAGCUUAGGGAUCACAGCCCCAAGAAAUGUGUGUGUGUGUGUGUGUGUAUGUAUAUAUAUAUAUAUAUAUAAAAUAGGCAAAACACCCCAAAAUUUGCUUUAUUUCAUUGAUUUUUUUUUUUUAAAGUAACUCCUGGAUUUGAGGUUAUUCGGCACUAUUUUUGUUCUUUGUAAAUAUUUCAAAUGACGUGAAGUGGUGUUCUACAUGGCACACACAUACAAUAUAUUGUCGUAGAAAACAACGCAGCAUGAUUUAAUAUAUUUAUGUUAUAAACUCAAAGAAAUAUCUCUGGACAGUGACAGUGAUCUUGGCAAGACUUCAUCACUGAAACAAAAAGUUCUAUUGCAAAUACCAGAAAUGCAAUGAAAACGGAGCUGUGCAAUGUAAAGAAAGAAUUUGAAGAAGAAGUGAACAAUAUCGAGAGGGGCGCGGUGGCGCAGUGGGUUGGACCGCAGUCCUGCUCUCCGGUGGGUCUGGGGUUCAAGUCCCGCUUGGGGUGCCUUGCGACGGACUGGCGUCCCGUCCUGGGUGUGUCCCCUUCCUCUCUCCAGCCUUACGCCCUGUGUUGCCGGGUAGGCUCCGGUUCCCCGUGACCCCGUAUGGGACAAGCGGUUCUGAAAAUGUGUGUGUGUGUGUGUGUGUGUGAACAAUAUCAAGAUAAAGAUGAAAGAAGAAAGAAAUAAAAUUGAAAAUGAGUUGGAGACA
rnacentral:lncRNA from 1 species